rnacentral:lncRNA from 1 species
UGCCUUACCAUCAUCUUAUCUUAUAUAUAGUACAUAAUCAUAAAUUUAGGGUUCAUCAAAUUAAGAAAAGAAAAUAAAAUAAAAUUAUUGAAUGCAUAUAUAAUAACUAAUUCUAUCAAAAUGUAUGUUGCACAUUAAUAUGCCACACAAUAAUUAACUUAUUCUUCUUUGUAGGGUGUUUUUCUAAUCUAUUGAGUUUAAUACUCAUAGAAUCAAAGAGGCUUUUUAACCCAUUUACAUCUUUCAUUAAUGCACUUACAAACAUAAUACAUGUUCCAAACUUGUUCACAAUCGGCAUCAUCUUCACAAUAUGGUUCAUGAUAAUCUGUAAAAGAUUAAAAAAAAAAUGUUACUAAAAUAUGAUAAGAGAUUGUGUACGAACUAUGAAGUAAAGAAAUAAAUUUGAAAAUGAUGAAAAAAAUGACUUACAAUCGUCAAAUUUCGCUGCAACAAAAAGUAAGGAAAAUAAUAAAAUCAAAGCAUAGGCAAACUUUUGAAUUUCAAGCAUAUUUUUUCCUUUUGCAUGUAACAUUUAGAAUAUAAUUCGAUCUCUUUUUUUUUUUUGGGUACAUUAAUUCGAUCUCUUUAUAUUGU